UACAGGGGGUGCAAACGUUGCUCGGAAUUAUUGGGCGUAAAGCGCGCGUAGGCGGCCACUUAAGUCGGAUGUGAAAGCCCCUGGCUCAACUGGGGAAGUGCACCCGAAACUGAAUGGCUUGAGUGCGAAAGAGGGUCGCGGAAUUCCCGGUGUAGAGGUGAAAUUCGUAGAUAUCGGGAGGAACACCGGUGGCGAAGGCGGCCAACUGGACGAACACUGACGCUGAGACUCGAAAGCGUGGGGAGCAAACGGG
rnacentral:rRNA from 1 species